rnacentral:tRNA from 1 species
UGUCCAGGGAUGGGAAUCGAACCCACAGUGUUCCGCUUACCGGGCAGAUGCCAUGUCCACUAGGCUAUGUGUUUGUCGAAAC